rfam:Picea glauca, whole genome shotgun sequence.
GUUCAAAUGAGGAAGGGAUUAUGGUGGAUACCUAGGCACCCAGAGACGAGGAAGGGCAUGGUAAGCGACAAAAUGCUUUGGGGAGUUGAAAAUGAGCAUAGAUCUGGAGAUUCCCGAAUAGGUUAACCUUUUUAACUGCUGCUUAAUCCAUGGGCAGGCAAGAGACAACCUAGCGAACUGAAACAUCUUAGUAGCCAUAGGAAUAGAUAGCAAAAGCGAUUCCCAUAGUAGUGGUGAGUGAAAUGGGAGCAGCCUAAACCAUGAAAACGGGGUUGUGGGAGAGCACAAUAUAAGCUCUGUGCUGCUAGGAAAAGCGGUUGAGUCCUGCACCCUAGAUGGUGAGAGUCCAGUAGCCAAACACAUCAUUUUGUUACGCUCUAACCCGAGUAGCAUGGGGCACAUGGAAUCCCAUGUGAAUCAACAAGGACCACCUUGGAAGGCUAAAUACUCCUGGGUGACCGAUAGCGAAGUAGUAUUGUGAGGGAAAGGUGAAAAGAACCCCCAUCGGGGAGUGAAAUAGAACAUGAAACCGUAAGCUCCCAAGCAGUGGGAGGAAAAUGAUAUCUCUGACCACAUGCCUAUUGAAGAAUGAGCUGACGAAUUAUAGGCAGUGGCUUGGUUAAGGGAACCCAUCGAAGCCGUAGUGAGAGCAAGUCUUCAUGGGGAAAUUGUCACUGCUUAUGGACCCGAACCUGGGUGAUUUAUCCAUGACUAGGAUGAAUCUUGGGUGAAAUUAAGUGGAGGUCCGAACCGACUGAUGUUGAAAAAUCAGCGGAUGAGCUGUGGUUAGGGGUGAAAUGCCACUCGAACCCAGAGCUAGCUGGUUCUCCCCAAAAUGCGUUGAGGCGCAACAGUUGACUGGACCAUCUAGGGGUAAAGCACUGUUUCGGUAUGGGCCGCGAGAGCGGUACCAAAUCGAGGCAAACUUUGAAUACUAGAUUGCUCCAAUAAAAGGGGUAAAGUUCAGCCAAUGAGACGAUGGGGGAUAAGCUUCAUCGUUGAGAGGGAAAAAACCUAUAUCAUUAGCUAAGGCCCCUAAAUGACUGCUCAGUGAUGAAGGAAGUACGAGUGCAAAGACAACCAAGAGGUUUUCCUAGAAGCAACCAACCUUGAAAGAGUGCGUAAUAUCUCACUGAUCGAGCGCUCUUGCGCCGAAGAUGAACGGGACUAAGCGAUCUUCCAAAGCUGCGGGAUGUAAAAAUACAUCGGUAGGGGAGCGUUCCACCUCAGAGGGAAGCACCGACGCGAGCAGGUGUGGACGAAGCAGAAGCGAGAAUGUCAGCUUGAGUAACACAAACAUUGGUGAGAAUACAAUGCCCCGAAAACCUAAGGGUUCCUCUGCAAGGUUCAUCCACGGAAGGUGAGUCAGGGCCUAAGAUCAGGUCGAAAGGUGUAGUCGAUGGACAACAUGUUAAUAUUCCUGUACUACCCCUUGUUGGUCUUGAGGGACGGAGGAGGCUAGGUUAGUCGAAAGAUGGUUAUCGGUUCAAGGACGCAAGGUGACCCUCUAUACAUUGAUUCAAAGGUAAAAGAAGAAUCAAAUAUAGGUGUGUACAAGGUGAGGUUGGGGGUGGAU